CUAUUCCCCUUUCGCUUUCGCCUAUCUCCCCGAACGCUGUGGUCGCUGACUCGCCGUCUCCCUACUCCUUUUCUCAGCAGAGAUCCACUCCUACUCCUCCACGGCUCCUCCCCCUCCUCGCUAUCGGCUCCUCCCUCGCGGCAGCGGCCAAUACGGCGAGGCUCCGCGGCUGCACGGGCGCCGCGAGGUCCAAGGGCGGCAGCAGCCAAUACGGCGCGGCUCCGCGGCUGCACGGGCGCAGCGAGGUCCAAGGGUGGCAGCAGCCAAUACGGCGAGGCGCCGCGCCCGCACGAGCACCGUGAUGUCCAAGGGCAGCAGCGGCCAAUACGACGAGGUGGUGGCUCUCCGGCGUGUGCUCCGCCUUGCUCCUGCGUCUCCUCCCCGGGCUCGACCUCCCGCCGUGCGUCCCCACCCGCAGCACCAAGCUUCCCAAUGGCGUCUGCGUCGCCUCCGAGGAUGCCCCGGUAGCACCCAUCUCCCCCCUCCUCCUUCCUUCGGAUGAGUCAAUAGCUGACGGCGGCCAUCGUGUCUGAGCUCAUGUACACCCAGAUUUGACAGGGAGCAGAACAUGGAUCUCAAUUUUUGGCAGCUCUGUUCUAAUGAAGCCAGCAUGGUUAGGUAGUGCCCGUCAGGCACAACUUGCUCGUUUUCAGCAUGAGGAGGAAGAAGAUUAUUUAGUUUUUUUUUGUAUGGACUAAUCCAGUGAGGAUGCUGGGCAAGAAAAUAGAAGAAAUGUGGACCUCAAGACUGAAGAAAAGCAGGCCUCCUUGGUGGCUCUGUGCUCAGAAAAGCAGAUUCGCAAAACUCCGAUUUUUCGACAGCAACUCAUCCGCCUCAGUCUCGUCUUUCGUUGACGGCAGAGCACCACGUAGCAGUGUUCGGGAGCGCAUCUUUGCAAAAAUCUAUACAAGUAUUAGAACUGGUUAUGGAGAUGGGAAUUAGGAAAUCCCUAAUUGCAUAUCUGAAACCAUGACAUUUUUCGUGGAAGGGCUGGGCGUUUCGGCACCAAGGGGCUCACCAUAACUUUUGUUUCGCCAGCCUCGGACUCAGAUGUUCUUAACCAAGUGCAAGAACGGUUUGAGGUGGACAUCAAGGAGCUGCAUGAGCAGAUUGACACUUCAACAUACAUGGCAUCGUAGACGACGACCCCGACAUUGCAAGGACGACGGAAGGAGAAGAUGGAAGAUGGGAUCCUUGAAAGUUUGCUUCAAGUGAUGUUGUUUUUUGCAUGCCUGCCUGCCUACCUUGCUACUUAGGAGGCAUCGGCAGCACCUGUACCUUUUUUUAGUCUGAGAGAGAUGUUUGUUUUGUUAAUUAGGCAAAAAUGAAAAUGAUUUUACUUGUGCUAGAAUUGGAUGGAUGAAUGUAUGAUGCAUGGUUUUCUUUGAAAUUUUAAAAAAUCAUGACAAUUAGACAAAACUUAUUUUUUUUCAAACGUUGCAUUAUAUCGUUAAAUAUUAUAUCUAAUCCUGUAACGUUCAAAAGUUUUCAAAUUUUGCUUGCUUGGGUAAUUUUAUUUGGUUGAAGAAUCUUUUUUGGAUGAAAUUCUAAACACUAUUCAGAGAAAUCAGCAGCUGCCUUUGUUCAAGAAUGUAGUAAUUCUCUGAACAUUAUUUUGUUUUUCUGUAGCAAGUUAUUCUAUUAGUACUGAACACUAUGCAAGGAAAAUCAGCAGCUGCCAUUCUUCAAGAAUGUACUAAUUCUCUGAACAUUGUUUUGUUUUUCUGUAGCAAAUUAUUCUAUUAAUACUAAAUACUAUGCAAGGAAAAUCAGCAGCUGCCAUUGUUUCAGAGAAUGAGCUAAUUCUUUGGAGAACAUUUGUUUUUCUGUAGCAAAUUAUUGUAUGAAUUCUGAACAUUGUUGAAAGAAAUUGAGCUCUGAACAUUGUUCAAAUAACAGAGAUAGAGCAGUCUGUGUAUACAUUGAGCAUUAAGCUAGAAGAAUUCUUAGCUAAUUUUUGACGAGACAUUGGUGUGCUGAAUGAUCUCUGUUACCCACCAUAAUUUAUUUUUUAUAAUGAUCUCUGUCCCAUUUUAGUACUUGUGGUGUCAUCUUCAAUUUUGUCAUAAAUUAGGAUUUUGUUUAGUUAUAAAUUUUAGGUUUCUAAUCUGGUGCUUGCUACUCCUUUUGACCAUUUUGCAGGUCGGAGUUGAAACAGACCCACAAGACAGAACUCAGCUUCAGAUUAGUCCUUCCGGAGCUGAGUUAUUUUACAUCAGUUUACCUCCUUUUAGCAGCUGUCAUUAUUCCUGGAAGAGAAAAGAGAAAUUGAUUUUCAGACAACAAGAACAACAGAACAACAGCGAUGGUAUUCAGGUUGACAUAUCUCCAUAGAGAAUCUAACCUAUCCAGGGAUAAGUAAGAUGAAAAACAUCCAUUAAAAGCUCCACAAAGGUUUACAUAAGGUGGGAGAAUGCCGGCAGCUGGAAUUCUGGUAUGGAAAAGGAGCAAAUAUUAGACCUAUUCUGCGCAACUCUAAAAGUCCUGAAACUCCACGG